rnacentral:rRNA from 1 species
GACAGAGGAUGCAAGCGUUAUCCGGAAUGAUUGGGCGUAAAGCGUCUGUAGGUGGCUUUUUAAGUCUGCCGUCAAAUCCCAGGGCUUAACCCUGGACAGGCGGUGGAAACUACCAAGCUGGAGUACGGUAGGGGCAGGGGGAAUUUCCGGUGGAGCGGUGAAAUGCGUAGAGAUCGGAAAGAACACCAACGGCGAAAGCACUCUGCUGGGCCGACGCUGACACUGAGAGACGAAAGCUAGGGGAGCGAAUGGG